rnacentral:rRNA from 1 species
UACGGAGGGUGCAAGCGUUGUCCGGAAUCACUGGGCGUAAAGGGCGCGUAGGCGGCUCAUGAAGGCUGUGGUGAAAGUCCGGGGCUCAACCUCGGAUCGGCCGUGGCGACUCGUGGGCUGGAGCACUGUAGAGGCGGGUGGAAUUCCUGGUGUAGCGGUGGAAUGCGCAGAUAUCAGGAGGAACACCGAUGGCGAAGGCAGAUCUCUGGGCCGUAACUGACGCUGAGGAGCGAAAGCGUGGGGAGCGAACAGG